AGCAGCCGCGGUAAUUCCAGCUCCAAUAGCGUAUAUUAAAGUUGUUGCAGUUAAAAAGCUCGUAGUUGAAUUUUGGAUUCUUCCAAUUGGUCCAUCUUUUAGAUGAGUACUGGUUGUGUGGGGUCUAUCCGCCUGGUGAUACGUAAUGUCCUUUAUUGGAUGUUUCGGGUAGUCAGGACCUUUACCUUGAAAAAUUAGAGUGUUUAAAGCAGGCUUAUGCCGGAAUACAUUAGCAUGGAAUAAUAGAAUAGGACGAAGUUGUUUUAUUUUGUUGGUUUCUAGGACAACCGUAAUGAUUAAUAGGGAUAGUUGGGGGCAUUAGUAUUCAAUUGUCAGAGGUGAAAUUCUUGGAUUUAUUGAAGACUAACUACUGCGAAAGCAUUUGCCAAGGAUGUUUUCAUUAAUCAAGAACGAAAGUUAGGGGAUCGAAGACGAUCAGAUACCGUCGUAGUCUUAACCAUAAACUAU
rnacentral:rRNA from 1 species